ensembl:lncRNA
UGCUCCUGCUCUCACCCCACACUCUGGUCUCCUCCUCGACAGGCAGCCUCUCCCUGGUCCUCGUCCCUCAAGAGAGCAGGCUGCCUGUCAGUGCCAUCCUGCAGUGGCAGGUGUCCCACUGUGGGAAGCCUGGGGAUGCAUGCCAUGCAAGGGAGAGGCAUGCCAUGCAAGGGAGAGGCAUCCCUGGAGGACAGGGGGCUCGGGCAGGUCUCGAGCAGGAAGGCAGAGCAGAGCUGGAGGCACCUGCAGCACUGAGGCCUGGGCACCCCAGCCACUAGUUCCAGUUCAGCCCCUGGCAAGCACCUGAAGUGAGCUGUGUGUGUGCUUUCUGUAACCUGGGUGAGGCUGGCCAGGCUGGAGUUCACUGACCUGGCCAAGAAAGGCCGAGGAGAGGCCCAGAGGACAUGUGAGCAGCAUACAGCAGAGGGCAGGAUGGAGAGGGGGUGGGGGAGCUGUGGCCCUGUCCUUCCAGACACCCCCAGGACAUGGCUGAAGCACCAGAGCUUGGAGACCUGGGGUGGCACGCCAGGGCUGGCCAGAGGCUGCGGCUGCAGCUCCAGCUGGUUGUGCAUGACCCCAAGUCUGCUCGUGGUCCUGUGCUGCCCGACCGUCCCUAGGCAGGGCAAGUGAUAGCUUUAGAGGGGAGAAACAUACACUUGCUGUGAGAGCCGGACCAGCCUCUGUGGGUGUGGGCAAGGCGUGAUGGGGUGCAGCAGAGGUUGGGGGAGAGGCAGCACCCACAGGGUCAUCAGGAGGUGUGAGGGGACAAGAAAAGGCGGGGAUCCAAUGGGAGUGGCCCAGAGUGUUGUCCAGAACACACAGACAAGGCUGAGAAGUGUGCCCCGUGGGUCAUGAGGUGGCUGCAGAGCUGUCACUCACCUGCAGAGCUGGGAAGAGAUGUGACGAGAGAGGAGAUGGACUGGCUCUCAGUGGACACAGACCUGGUGGUGGGGAGGGAGGAGCUUCCGUGUGCAGUGAUGGAGCUGGCUAGGAACACAGUAGUCUGCAGCCUGGUGGUACUCGGCUGUCUGGUGGUGAGGUUGGUGGCUGGAGAACUUGGGACGGCUGUCACCCCCAGUGUAGAAGACAGGAGGCCGUGGGUGGGGGUUUGGGUGGUGAGAGAGGUGGACUGGGCGGUGGUGGACUGAGAGGAUGGGACAGAGGAAGUGGGACUGCUGACCGUGGUCCGGGGUGUAGACAGGAUGACCGUACUAACAGUGGGGGCAGGGGACAGGGUGGGAGCUGAUGGAGGUGACAGGGAGGCCCUGAUGGGUGUGGAGGCGGCUGGGGAAGGGGGGCUGGUUGGCAGGGACGCUGUUUGUGACAUGGUCAGAGGUGCAGAGGGCGAGGGACUGUGUGGAGCUGAGCUGACGCUUGGGAUGCUGUGUGAAGUGGAGACUGCAGAAGGGGAAGGGGAAGACGAUAUCAAAGGAGAGGUGUUCGAGGACCCGUGAGGAGGAGGAGAGGAAACAGUGGGCAAGGAGGAGGGGAUUGGGACAGUGGAAGAAGAGGGGUAAUGGGGAAGAGUCGACACAGAAACAGAAGUGGUUAAAGGACUUUGGCUUGGGUUCAGAGAAGCUGGAGAAGACAAUGGAGAGCUGAAGCUAGAGCUUUGUAGUGGUGCUGUGCUGACUGAGCUCUGGGUUUGUGUGGUCCCUGUUGUGGUCUUUGUGAGUGGCAGGGUUGUGGGUGUGGUGCUCCCUAUUGUUGUUGUCAGCAGUGGGGAUAUGGAUGUGGGUGCCAUGGAUGUGACCGGGACGUGUGUCAAUGGCGUUGGGGUGCCAGUAGGCUUUGUGGUGGAGUAGGUAGCAUGGGACUCAGUUGGGGUGAUGACUUGGUGAGAGGUUGAAGUCACAGAUGUUGACACAUGGAUGGGAAGGGUCUCUGGAUGUGAUGGGGUGGAAUGGGUGGUGGUGGUCCGGAAGGAUGUUCCUGUUGGCAGAACUGUUGUGUGAGAGGUGGUGUGGACAGAAAAGGUGGCACUGGAGUGAGUGGUGAAUGGAGUGUGUGGCCCAGUGGGGGCAGCUGUUGUGUGUGUCACGGGUGUUCCAGUGCCUCUACUGGUAGAUGGAAGGGAGAUAGUACUGAGCAGUGGAGAAGUGCUUACAGGGAGGAUGGUUGAAGUAGAAUGUGAUAUUGGGGCUGUGGAGGUUGUUAUUGUGCUGACCAAGUUUUGGGCUUGAGUGGUCCCUGUUGUGGUCUUUGUCAGUGGUGGGACUGUAGGUGCAGUGGUCUUUGUCAGUGGUGUGGCUGUGGAUGUAGUGGUCUCUGUGGUGGUCUUUGUCAGUGGUGUGGCUAUAGGUGUGGUGGACCCUAUGGUGGUCUUUGUCAGUGGUGUGGCUGUGGUGGUUUCUGUUGUGGUCUUUGUCAGUGGUGUGGCUGUGGUGGUCUCUGCGGUGGUCUUUGUCAGUGGUGUGGCUGUGGUGGUCUCUGCGGUGGUCUUUGUCAGUGGUGUGGCUGUGGUGGUCUCUGUGGUGGUCUUUGUCAGUGGUGUGGCUGUGGGUGUGGUGGUCUCUAUCAGUGGUGUGGCUGUGGGUGUGGUGGUCUCUAUCAGUGGUGUGGCUGUGGGUGUGGUGGUCUCUGUCAGUGGUGUGGCUGUGGUGGUCUCUGUGGUGGUCUUUGUCAGUGGUGUGACUGUGGGUGUGGUGGUCUCUGUCAGUGGUGUGGCUCUGGGUGUGGUGGUUUCUGCUGUGGUGGUUGUCAGUGGUGUGCCUGUGGGUGUGAUGGUCUUUGUCAGUGGUGUGGCUGUAGUGGUGUCUGUGGUGGUCUUUGUCAGUGGUGGGGCUGUGGUGGGUUCUGUGGUAGUCUUUGUCAGUGGUGUGGCUGUGGUGGUCUCUGUGGUGGUCUUUGUCAGUGGUGUGACUGUGGGUGUGGUGGUCUCUGUCAGUGGUGUAGCUCUGGGUGUGGUGGUUUCUGCUGUGGUGGUUGUCAGUGGUGUGCCUGUGGGUGUGAUGGUCUUUGUCAGUGGUGUGGCUGUAGUGGUGUCUGUGGUGGUCUUUGUCAGUGGUGGGGCUGUGGUGGGUUCUGUGGUAGUCUUUGUCAGUGGUGUGGCUGUGGGUGUAGUGGUUUCUGUGGUGGUCUCUGUCAGUGGUGUGACUGUGGGUGUAGUGGUUUUUGUGCUGGUCUCUGUCAGUGGAGUGGCUGUGGAUGUGGUAGUUUUUCUGGUUGUCUUUGUCAGUGGUGUGCCUGUGGGUGUGGUGGUCUCUGUCAGUGGUGUGGCUGUGGAUGUGGUAGUUUUUCUGGUUGUCUUUGUCAGUGGUGUGGCUGUGGGUGUGGUGGUCUCUGUCAGUGGUGUGGCUGUGGGUGUGGUAGUCUCUGUCAGUGGAGUGGCUGUGGAUGUGGUAGUUUUUCUGGUUGUCUUUGUCAGUGGUGUGGCUGUGGGUGUGGUGGUCUCUGUCAGUGGUGUGGGUGUGGGUAUGGUGGUGGUUGUCAGUGGUGUGCCUGUUGGUGUGGUGGUUUCUAUGGUGGUCUUUGUCAGUGGUAUGGGUGUGGUGGUCUCUGUUGUGGUCAUUGUCAGUGGUGUGGCUGUGGGUGUGGUGGUCUCUGUCAUUGGUGUGGCUGUGCUGGUUUCUGUGGUGGUCUCUGUCAGUGCUGUGACUGUGGGUGUAGUGGUUUCUGUGGUGGUCUCUGUCAGUGAUGUGCCUGUGGGUGUAGUGGUUUCUAUGGUGGUCUCUGUCAGUGGUGUGACUGUGGGUGUGGUGGUUUCUGUGUUGGUCUUUGUCAGUGGUGUGGGUGUGGUGGUCUCUGUUGUGGUCAUUGUCAGUGGUGUGGCUGUGGGUGUGGUGGUCUCUGUUGUGGUCUCUGUCAGUGGUGUGGCUGUGGGUGUGGUGGUCUCUGUCAGUGGUGUGACUGUGGGUGUAGUGGUUUCUGUGGUGGUCUCUGUCAGUGGUGUGACUGUGGGUGUAGUGGUUUCUGUGGUGGUCUCUGUCAGUGGUGUGACUGUGGGUGUGGUGGUCUCUGUCAGUGGUGUAGGUGUGGUGGUUUCUGUGGUGGUCUUUGUCAGUGGUGUGGGUGUGGUGGUCUCUGUUGUGGUCAUUGUCAGUGGUGUGGCUGUGGGUGUGGUGGUUUCUGUUGUGGUCUUUGUCAGUGGUGUGUCUGUGGGUGUGGUGGUCUCUGUCAGUGGUGUGGGUGUGGUGGUCUCUGUUGUGGUCUCUGUCAGUGGUGUGUCUGUGGGUGUGGUGGUCUUUGUCAGUGGUGUGGGUGUGGUGGUUUCUGUUGUGGUUGUCAGUGGUGUGGCUCUGGGUGUGGUGGUCUUUGUCAGUGGUGUGGUGGUCUCUGUUGUGGUCUUUGUCACUGGAGUGGCUGUGACUGUGGUGGUUUCUAUUGUGGUUGUCAGUGGUGUGGCUGGGGAUUUGGUGGUCUUUGUCAGUGGUGUGACUGUGGGUGUGGUGGUCUCUGUCAGUGGUGUGGGUGUGGUGGUUUCUGUUGUGGUCUUUGUCAGUGGUGUGACUGUGGUGGUUUUUGUGGUGGUCUUUGUCAGUGGUGUGGGUGUGGUGGUCUCUGUUGUGGUCUUUGUCAGUGGAGUGGCUGUGACUGUGGUGGUUUGUGUUGUAGUCUUUGUCAGUGGUAUGGCUGUGAAUGUGGUGGUCUCUGUCAGUGGUGUGGCUGUGCUGGUUUCUGUGGUGGUUUCUGUCAGUGGUGUGAUUGUGGGUGUAGUGGUUUUUGUGGUGGUCUUUGUCAGUGGUGUGUCUGUGGGUGUGGUGGUCUCUGUUGUCUUUGUCAGUGGUGUGACUGUGGGUGUGGUGGUGUCUGUCAGUGGUGUGACUGUGGGUGUAGUGGUUUUUGUGCUGGUCUCUGUCAGUGGAGUGGCUGUGGAUGUGGUAGUUUUUCUGGUUGUCUUUGUCAGUGGUGUGGCUGUGGGUGUGGUGGUCUCUGUCAGUGGUGUGGCUGUGGGUGUGGUAGUCUCUGUCAGUGGAGUGGCUGUGGAUGUGGUAGUUUCUCUGGUUGUCUUUGUCAGUGGUGUGGCUGUGGGUGUGGUGGUCUCUGUCAGUGGUGUGGGUGUGGGUAUGGUGGUGGUUGUCAGUGGUGUGCCUGUUGGUGUGGUGGUUUCUGUUGUGGUCUCUGUCAGUGGUGUGACUGUGGAUGUGGUGGUUUCUGUGGUGGUCUUUGUCAGUGGUAUGGGUGUGGUGGUCUCUGUUGUGGUCAUUGUCAGUGGUGUGGCUGUGGGUGUGGUGGUCUCUGUCAUUGGUGUGGCUGUGCUGGUUUCUGUGGUGGUCUCUGUCAGUGAUGUGACUGUGGGUGUAGUGGUUUCUGUGGUGGUCUCUGUCAGUGGUGUGACUGUGGGUGUAGUGGUUUCUGUGGUGGUCUCUGUCAGUGGUGUGCCUGUGGGUGUAGUGGUUUCUAUGGUGGUCUCUGUCAGUGAUGUGACUGUGGGUGUAGUGGUUUCUGUUGUGGUCUGUGUCAGUGUUGUGGCUGUGGGUGUGGUGGUUUCUGUUGUGGUCUUUGUCAGUGGUGUGACUGUGGUGGUUUUUGUGGUGGUCUUUGUCAGUGGUGUGGGUGUGGUGGUCUCUGUUGUGGUCUUUGUCAGUGGUGUGACUGUGGGUGUGGUGGUCUCUGUCAGUGGUGUGGCUGUGGGUGUGGUGGUCUUUGUCAGUGGUGUGGCUGUGGGUGUGGUGGUUUCUCUGGUUGUCUUGGUCCAUAGUGUGACUGUGGGUGUGGUUGUCUCUGUUGUAGUCUCUGUCAGUGAUGUCACUGUGGGUGUAGUGGUUUUUGUGGUGGUCUUUGUCAGUGGUGUGGCUGUGGGUAUGGUGGUCUUUGUCAGUGGUGUGGAUGUUGUGGUUUCUGUCAGUGGUGUUCCUGUGGGUGUGGUGGUUUCUGUGGUGGUCUUUGUCAGUGGUGUGCCUGUGGGUGUGGUGGUUUCUGUUGUGGUCUCUGUCAGUGGUGUGGCUGUGGGUGUAGUGGUUUUUGUGGUGGUCUUUGUCAGUGAUGUGACUGUGGAUGUGGUGGUUUCUGUCAGUGGUGUGCCUGUGGGUGUGGUGGUCUCUGUUAUAGUCUCUGUCAGUUGUGUGACUGUGGGUGUAGUGGUUUUUGUGGUGGUCUUUGUCAGUGGUGUGCCUGUGGGUGUGGUGGUUUCUGUUGUGGUCUCUGUCAGUGGCGUGGCUGUGGGUGUGGUGGUCUCUGUCAGUGGUGUGGCUGUGGGUGUAGUGGUUUUUGUGGUGGUCUUUGUCAGUGAUGUGACUGUGGAUGUGGUGGUUUCUGUCAGUGGUGUGGCUGUGGGUGUGGUGGUCUUUGUCAGUCGUGUUGGGGUGGGUGUGGUGGUCUCUGUUGUGGUCUUUGUCAGUGGUGUGAUUGUGGGUGUGCUGGUUUCUGUGAGUGGUGUGGCUGUGGUGGUUUCUAUCAGUGGUGUGAUUGUGGGUGUAGUGGUUUUUGUGGUGGUCUUUGUCAGUGGUGUGGGUGUGGUGGUCUCUGUUGUGGUCUUUGUCAGUGGUGUGGCUGUGGGUGUGGUGGUCUUUGUCAGUGGUGUGACUGUGGGUGUGGUGAUCUUUGUCAGUGGUGUGGAUGUUGUGGUUUCUGUCAGUGGUGUGUCUGUGGGUGUGGUGCUCUCUAUUGUAGUCUCUGUCAGUGGUGUGACUGUGGGUAUGGUGGUGGUUGUCAGUGGUGUUCCUGUGGGUGUGGUGGUUUCUGUGGUGGUCUUUGUCAGUGGUGUGCCUGUGGGUGUGGUGGUCUCUGUUGUGGUCUCUGUCAGUGAUGUCACUGUGGGUGUAGUGGUUUUUGUGGUGGUCUUUGUCAGUGAUGUGACUGUGGAUGUGGUGGUUUCUGUCAGUGGUGUGGCUGUGGGUGUGGUGGUCUUUGUCAGUGGUGUGGCUGUGGGUGUGGUGGUCUCUGUCUGUGGUGUGGGUGUGGUGGUUUCUGUCAGUGGUGUGGGUGUGGUAGUCUUUGUCAGUGGUGUGACUGUGGGUGUGGUGGUCUCUGUUGUAGUCUCUGUCAGUGAUGUCACUGUGGGUGUAGUGGUUUUUGUGGUGGUCUUUGUCAGUGGUGUGGCUGUGGGUAUGGUGGUCUUUGUUAGUGGUGUGGAUGUUGUGGUUUCUGUCAGUGGUGUUUCUGUGGGUGUGGUGGUCUCUGUUGUGGUAUUUGUCAGUGGUGUGACUGUGGGUGUGGUGGUCUUUGUCAGUGGUGUGGCUGUGGGUGUGGUGGUCUUUGUCAGUGGUGUGGAUGUUGUGGUUUCUGUCAGUGGUGUUUCUGUGGGUGUGGUGGUCUCUGUUGUGGUAUUUGUCAGUGGUGUGACUGUGGGUGUGGUGGUCUUUGUCACUGGUGUGGAUGUGGUGGUCUUUGUCAGUGGUGUGGCUGUGGGUGUGGUGGUCUUUGUCAGUGGUGUGACUGUGGAUGUGGUGGUUUCUCUGGUUGUCUUGGUCCAUAGUGUGACUGUGGGUGUGGUUGUCUCUGUUGUAGUCUCUGUCAGUGAUGUCACUGUGGGUGUAGUGGUUUUUGUGGUGGUCUUUGUCAGUGGUGUAGCUGUGGGUGUGGUGGUGUUUGUCAGUGGUGUGGAUGUGGUGGUUUCUGUCAAUGGUGUGUCUGUGGGUGUGGUGGUCUCUGUUGUGGUCUUUGUCAGUAGUGUGACUGUGGGUGUGGUGGUCUUUGUCAGUGGUGUGACUGUGGAUGUGGUGGUUUCUCUGGUUGUCUUGGUCCAUAGUGUGACUGUGGGUGUGGUUGUCUCUGUUGUAGUCUCUGUCAGUGAUGUGACUGUGGGUGUAGUGGUUUCUGUUGUGGUCUGUGUCAGUGUUGUGGCUGUGGGUGUGGUGGUUUCUGUUGUGGUCUUUGUCAGUGGUGUGACUGUGGUGGUUUUUGUGGUGGUCUUUGUCAGUGGUGUGGGUGUGGUGGUCUCUGUUGUGGUCUUUGUCAGUGGUGUGACUGUGGGUGUGGUGGUCUCUGUCAGUGGUGUGGCUGUGGGUGUGGUGGUCUUUGUCAGUGGUGUGGCUGUGGAUGUGGUGGUCUUUGUCACUGGUGUGGAUGUGGUGGUCUUUGUCAGUGGUGUGGCUGUGGGUGUGGUGGUCUUUGUCAGUGGUGUGACUGUGGAUGUGGUGGUUUCUCUGGUUGUCUUGGUCCAUAGUGUGACUGUGGGUGUGGUUGUCUCUGUUGUAGUCUCUGUCAGUGAUGUCACUGUGGGUGUAGUGGUUUUUGUGGUGGUCUUUGUCAGUGGUGUAGCUGUGGGUGUGGUGGUGUUUGUCAGUGGUGUGGAUGUGGUGGUUUCUGUCAAUGGUGUGUCUGUGGGUGUGGUGGUCUCUGUUGUGGUCUUUGUCAGUAGUGUGACUGUGGGUGUGGUGGUCUUUGUCAGUGGUGUGGCUGUGGGUGUGGUGGUCUUUGUCAGUGGUGUGGCUGUGGGUAUGGUGGUCUUUGUCAUUGUCUUUGUCAGUGGUGUGACUGUGGGUGUGGUGGUCUCUGUUGUGGUCUCUGUCAGUGGUGUGACUGUGGGUGUGGUGGUUUCUGUCAGUGGUGUGACUGUGGGUGUGGUGGUCUCUGUUAUAGUCUCUGUCAGUUGUGUGACUGUGGGUGUAGUGGUUUUUGUGGUGGUCUUUGUCAGUGAUGUGACAGUGGAUGUGGUGGUUUCUGUCAGUGGUGUGGCUGUGGUGGUCUCUGUCAGUGGUGUGGCGGUGGGUGUGGUGGUUUCUGUGGUGGUCUCUGUCAGUGGUGUGGUGGUUGGUGUGGUGGUCUCUGUAAGUGGUGUGGCUGUGGGUGUGGUGGUCUUUGUCAGUAGUGUGACUGUGGGUGUGGUGGUCAUUGUCAGCGGUGUGGCUGUGGGUGUGGUGGUCUCUGUUGUGGUUGUUGUCAGUGAUGUGACUGUGGAUGUGGUGGUCUCUGUCAGUGGUGUGGCUGUGGGUGUGGUGGUCUUUGUCAGUAGUGUGACUGUGGGUGUGGUGGUCAUUGUCAGCGGUGUGGCUGUGGGUGUGGUGGUCUCUGUUGUGGUUGUUGUCAGUGAUGUGACUGUGGAUGUGGUGGUCUCUGUCAGUAGUGUGACUGUGGGUGUGGUGGUCAUUGUCAGCAGUGUGGCUGUGGGUGUGGUGGUCUCUGUUGUGGUUGUUGUCAGUGAUGUGACUGUGGAUGUGGUGGUCUCUGUCAGUGAUGUGACUGUGGGUGUGGUGGUCUUUGUCAGUGGUGUGGCUGUGGGUGUCAUGGUCUUUGUCAGUGGUGUGGCUGUGGGUGUUGUGGUCUUUGUCAGUAGUGUGACUGUGGGUGUGGUGGUCAUUGUCAGCGGUGUGGCUGUGGGUGUGGUGGUCUCUGUUGUGGUUGUUGUCAGUGAUGUGACUGUGGAUGUGGUGGUCUCUGUCAGUAGUGUGACUGUGGGUGUGGUGGUCAUUGUCAGCAGUGUGGCUGUGGGUGUGGUGGUCUCUGUUGUGGUUGUUGUCAGUGAUGUGACUGUGGAUGUGGUGGUCUCUGUCAGUGAUGUGACUGCGGGUGUGGUGGUCUUUGUCAGUGGUGUGGCUGUGGGUGUCAUGGUCUUUGUCAGUGGUGUGGCUGUGGGUGUGGUGAUCUCUGUCAGUGGUGUGGUGGUGGUGGUUUCUGUGGUGGUAUCUCUCAGUGGUGUGGCUGUGGGUGUGGUGGUCUCUGUCAGUGGUGUGACUGUGGUGGUUUCUGUGGUCGUCUCUGUCAGUGGUGUGGCUGUGGAUGUGGUCUUUGUCAUUGGUGUGGCUGUGGAUGUGGUUUCUGUCAGUGGUGUGGCUGUGGGUGUGGUGGUUUCUGUGGUGGUCUCUGUCAGUGGUGUGGUUGUGGUGGUUUCUGUGGUGGUCUCUGUCAGUGGUGUGGCUGUGGGUGUGGUGGUCUUUGUCAUUGGUGUGGCUGUGGAUGUGGUUUCUGUCAGUGGUGUGUCUGUGGGUGUGGUGGUCUCUGUUGUGGUCUUUGUCAGUGGUAUGACUGUGGGUGUGGUGGUCUUUGUCAGUGGUGUGGCUGUGGGUGUGGUGGUCUCUGUCAGUGGUGUGGCUGUGGGUGUGGUGGUCUCUGUCAGUGGCGUGGCUGUGGGUUUGGAGGUCCCUGUGGUGGUGGUUGUCAGUGGUGUGGCUGUGGGUGUGGUGGUCCCUGUGGUGGUUGUCAGUGGUGUGACUGUAGGUGUGGUGGUGGUAGUCAGUGGUGUGGCUGUGGGUGUGAGCACUGUCUCUGUGACAGGGGUGUGUGUUGAUAGAGAAGGAGUGCCAGUUGUCUUUGUGGUGGAGAAGGUGGUGUGGGACUCGGUCAGGGUGAUAACCUGGUGAGAGGUUGGAGUCACUGAGGAGGUGGCCGAUGUUGACACGUGGACAGGAAGGGUCUCUGGAGGUGGUGGGGUUGGGUAGGGUGUGACUGUGGGUGUGGUGGUCUCUGUCAGUGGUGUGGUUGUGGUGGUUUCUGUGGUGGUCUCUCUCAGUGGCGUGGCUGUGGGUUUGGUGGUCCCUGUGGUGGUGGUUGUCAGUGGUGUGGCUGUGGGUGUGGUGGUCUUUGUCAGUUGUGUGGGUGUUGUGGUCUCUGUCAGUGGUGUGGCUGUGGAUGUGGUGGUCUCUGUCUGUGGUGUGGCUGUGGGUGUCGUGGUCUCUGUCAGUGGUGUGGCUGUGUGUGUCGUGGUCUCUGUCAGUGGUGUGGCUGUGGGUGUGGUUGUCUCUGUCAGUGGAGUGGCUGUGGGUGUGGUUGUCUCUGUCAGUGGCGUGGCUGUGGGUUUGGAGGUCCCUGUGGUGGUGGUUGUCUGUGGUGUGGCUGUGGGUGUGGUGGUCUUUGUCAGUGGUGUGGCUGUGGGUGUCGUGGUCCCUGUGGUGGUGGUUGUCAGUGGUGUGACUGUAGGUGUGGUGGUGGUUUUCAGUGGUGUGGCUCUGGGUGUGGUUGUCUCUGUCAGUGGCGUGGCUGUGGGUUUGGAGGUCCCUGUGGUGGUGGUUGUCUGUGGUGUGGCUGUGGGUGUGGUGGUCUUUGUCAGUGGUGUGGCUGUGGGUGUCGUGGUCCCUGUGGUGGUGGUUGUCAGUGGUGUGACUGUAGGUGUGGUGGUGGUUUUCAGUGGUGUGGCUCUGGGUGUGGUUGUCUCUGUCAGUGGCGUGGCUGUGGGUUUGGAGGUCCCUGUGGUGGUGGUUGUCUGUGGUGUGGCUGUGGGUGUGGUUGUCUCUGUCAGUGGAGUGGCUGUGGGUGUGGUUGUCUCUGUCAGUGGCGUGGCUGUGGGUUUGGAGGUCCCUGUGGUGGUGGUUGUCUGUGGUGUGGCUGUGGGUGUGGUGGUCUUUGUCAGUGGUGUGGCUGUGGGUGUCGUGGUCCCUGUGGUGGUGGUUGUCAGUGGUGUGACUGUAGGUGUGGUGGUGGUUUUCAGUGGUGUGGCUCUGGGUGUGGUUGUCUCUGUCAGUGGCGUGGCUGUGGGUUUGGAGGUCCCUGUGGUGGUGGUUGUCUGUGGUGUGGCUGUGGGUGUGGUGGUCUCUGUCAGUGGUGUGGCUGUGGGUGUGGUGGUCUCUGUCAGUGGCGUGGCUGUGGGUGUGGUGGUCCCUGUGGUGGUUGUCAGUGGUGUGACUGUAGGUGUGGUGGUGGUAGUCAGUGGUGUGGCUGUGGGUGUGAGCACUGUCUCUGUGACAGGGGUGUGUGUUGAUAGAGAAGGGGUGCCAGUUGUCUUUGUGGUGGAGAAGGUGGUGUGGGACUCGGUCGGGGUGAUAACCUGGUGAGAGGUUGGAGUCACUGAGGAGGUGGCCGAUGUUGACACGUGGACAGGAAGGGUCUCUGGAGGUGGUGGGGUUGGGUAGGCUGUGACUGUGGGUGUGGUGGUCUCUGUCAGUGGUGUGGCUGUGGGUGUGGCUGUGGGUGUGGUGGUUGUGGGUGGAGUUGAUGUCUGGGGUGUGGUGGGGACAGGGAGUGGAAGGGUGGUGCUGGAGUGGGUGAUGGGCAUGGCCGUGGAGGGAGGAGCCGGUGUGUUGGGGCUGGCGCUGCCCUCGGCCCCAGUGGUGGGGGCCGUUGGUCUCAGGCCCGUGUGUGCUGUGCUGGGCCCUGUGGUGCCCUCUGGCGGUCGUGGGGGCUCCGUGCGCUGUGUCUCCUGGCUGAUGGGAGUUUCGGGGGUCCAUCGAUGUGUUGAGGAUGCUGUUGAAAGCAGGGCGUCAUUUCACUCCCUCCCCCUCGUACCCUGCUUUGGGGUCGCCCACGCCUUCCACAUCAGCCUCCACACCUGUGGCUCUAGUGUGCCUGCGGGGGUGUCCAGCAGCUUUCUGGAUGACUCUGGUUCCUCUCCCAGCCCCCUGUCCCGGCAUUGUCUGUGGGCCCUUGUUGCAUCCUGAAUGUCUGCAGUGGGUUUUGGGGUCCCUCCCUAGCAGCCCUACUCUCAGGGUGGGCUCCUCUGCCCCGGCCUCAGGCAGGUGCUUCCUCUUCCCUCCUGCUCUCAGGGGAAUGGGAAGUUGGUGGCCCUGCCCCCGAGCUGGGGCCUGUGCGUGGCUCAGGGGCCUUUUGGAGCCCUUGCACCCUGAGGCCUGUGGAUCCCUCAGUGAGGGUGGCCAUGGGGGAAGGCUGCUUGGGUCUGGUGGUCU